rfam:Trichobilharzia regenti genome assembly, scaffold: TRE_scaffold0087951
AUCCAGCUAACGAGUCCCAAACAGGAGGAAAUGCUCAUCCUGGAU